UACGUAGGGGGCAAGCGUUGUCCGGAAUCAUUGGGCGUAAAGAGCGUGUAGGCGGUCCGGUAAGUCGGCUGUGAAAGUCCAGGGCUCAACCCUGGGAUGCCGGUCGAUACUGCCGGACUAGAGUUCGGAAGAGGCGAGUGGAAUUCCCGGUGUAGCGGUGAAAUGCGUAGAUAUCAAGUGGAACACCAGUGGCGAAGGCGAGUCUCUGGACAUUUCCUGACGCUGAGGCACGAAAGCCAGGGGAGCAAACGGG
rnacentral:rRNA from 1 species